UCUGAAGUGGGUAGUGUAAGUACUGUUCUUAUGACAUAUCCAAUGUCGAUUUCUAUUCUUUUAUUUUUUGUAGUGGCUGAAUAAUGCUAGUGUAAUGGCCGAAUUGCACAUGAUGAUUUUUUAUAUGUAAUUUUGUUUGAAGGACCGAAUAUGAACGUAUCAGAUCAAUAGUAGCAUUGAAGGACAACUCACAUCUCUUUUUUAAUACUUGGAAGAAUCUGGUUAACUGUUAUCUACAUUGAGGCCGUAGGAGUUGUGUAUUUGCGUUAGUGCAUCGAAUUUACGAAAAUCAGGUAACCCCAAGGUUAGGAUCGGACUCGACAAUAUGGAGGUCUGUCUUGAAUUUUUGGUUUAAUAUUAUAAUUUUUAUCAUUAUUCAGGAUUGUAAUAAUUUUUAUACAGAUUGUGGCAUGGGUUCAAUAUUCUGGGUUAUUUUGGUAUUUUGUAUGCAUUAUCGUUAAAACUAGUUAAGUUAAAUAACUGGAUGGUGUUUAUAAGCAUAUAAAAUUAUUUUUUAAAAUAAUAAUAAAUUAAGGUCUUCGUAUUUU